AUCACUUCCUGGGCCUUUUGGCUAAGAUCAAAUAGAGUAUCUAUUCUUAUUAGUUUAAUAUCUGAUAGGUCCUCUAUCUAAGGACUGUAUAUUAAAUAGAUUUUUUGAAACAAGGAGAUGGAAUAGGAACUUACUCUGUCCACUCCACAUAUCAAUGUGAUACUGCAGUAGUUCUGGAAAUAGUGCAUUUUCU